GCUCAGGACGAACGCUGGCGGCGUGCCUAAUACAUGCAAGUCGAGCGGACAGAAGGGAGCUUGCUCCCGGAUGUUAGCGGCGGACGGGUGAGUAACACGUGGGUAACCUGCCUGUAAGACUGGGAUAACUCCGGGAAACCGGAGCUAAUACCGGAUAGUUCCUUGAACCGCAUGGUUCAAGGAUGAAAGACGGUUUCGGCUGUCACUUACAGAUGGACCCGCGGCGCAUUAGCUAGUUGGUGGGGUAAUGGCUCACCAAGGCGACGAUGCGUAGCCGACCUGAGAGGGUGAUCGGCCACACUGGGACUGAGACACGGCCCAGACUCCUACGGGAGGCAGCAGUAGGGAAUCUUCCGCAAUGGACGAAAGUCUGACGGAGCAACGCCGCGUGAGUGAUGAAGGUUUUCGGAUCGUAAAGCUCUGUUGUUAGGGAAGAACAAGUGCGAGAGUAACUGCUCGCACCUUGACGGUACCUAACCAGAAAGCCACGGCUAACUACGUGCCAGCAGCCGCGGUAAUACGUAGGUGGCAAGCGUUGUCCGGAAUUAUUGGGCGUAAAGGGCUCGCAGGCGGUUUCUUAAGUCUGAUGUGAAAGCCCCCGGCUCAACCGGGGAGGGUCAUUGGAAACUGGGAAACUUGAGUGCAGAAGAGGAGAGUGGAAUUCCACGUGUAGCGGUGAAAUGCGUAGAGAUGUGGAGGAACACCAGUGGCGAAGGCGACUCUCUGGUCUGUAACUGACGCUGAGGAGCGAAAGCGUGGGGAGCGAACAGGAUUAGAUACCCUGGUAGUCCACGCCGUAAACGAUGAGUGCUAAGUGUUAGGGGGUUUCCGCCCCUUAGUGCUGCAGCUAACGCAUUAAGCA
rnacentral:rRNA from 1 species